CCCUUAGAUGUUCUGGGCCGCACGCGCGCUACACUGAACAGUUCAACAAGUCUUAACCUUGGCCGAAAGGUCUGGGUAAUCUCCAAAUUUCGUCGUGAUGGGGAUAGAUUAUUGCAAUUAUUAAUCUUCAACGAGGAAUGCCUAGUAAGCGCAAGUCAUCAGCUUGCGUUGAUUACGUCCCUGCCCUUUGUACACACCGCCCGUCGCUCCUACCGAUUGAAUGGUCCGGUGAAGCGUUCGGACCGUGGCCUUUGGACGGUUCGCCGUCUGUUGGCUGCGGGAAGUUCGUUAAACCUUAUCAUUUAGAGGAAGGAGAAGUCGUANCA
rnacentral:rRNA from 1 species